AUGUUAUGUUGGAACUUGCAUGGAUUUCUUCACAUUUAUUUAUAUAGGUAUAUUGGGUGGUAUGACAGUUCCUUUAACAUAAAUAAAAAAGGAGAAGAUAAAGAGAUGCAUGAAAAGAGUGUAGUUCAGUGGUCAAAUGACCACUCGAUAGCUUGGAGGGGGGAAAGUGAUUUAUUCGAACGACAAGCCUCUGAUGGAGAUACUCUUCUGGAACAUCCAAAGUUUCAAGCAACAACGGAGGAACUUGAUUCGUUUCUUAGACGGAGACAUACCUGA
rnacentral:lncRNA from 1 species